GCCGGUUCUUAAACCGGCUGCGUUGUACUACCUUAUCACGUUAAAUCGGUGAUGUUAGGGGUUCCAAAUCGGUGAGCCGGUGGGGCAUCGCUUUCCUUUCAGCUCCGCCCCACAUUUCGUUUCAGUUUCAUUCACGACUGUCAACAGCGUCUCAUUUUCUUCCUCUGCUAUGCCUGUGUACAGUGUACUCCACUCACUCGCACUGUAGCUCACACCAGUUUCAAACCUUCACGAGUGCCACAAACUUUUCUUUCUUUGACUAUACUUUCCAGGCUG
rnacentral:lncRNA from 1 species